rnacentral:rRNA from 1 species
UACGUAGGGUGCGAGCGUUAAUCGGAAUUACUGGGCGUAAAGAGUGCGUAGGCGGUUCUUGAAGUCCGCUGUGAAAGCCCCGGGCUUAACCUGGGAAUGGCAGUGGAAACUGGAAGACUUGAAUUGAGCAGAGGGGGGUGGAAUGCCGCGUGUAGCAGUGAAAUGCGUAGAGAUCCGGAGGAACACCGACGGCGCAGGCAGCGUCCUGGCCGCUUGCUGACACUGAGGCACGAAAGCUGGGGGAGCAAACAGG